rnacentral:rRNA from 1 species
AAUUCUAGUGACAGACGGGUGAGUAUGCGUAGGAUCUACCUAGUAGUACGGAAUAGCCAUUAGAAAUGGUGGGUAAUACUGUAUAAUCCCCGAGGGGGAAAGAUUUAUCGCUAUUAGAUGAGCCUACGUUAGAUUAGCUAGUUGGUGAGGUAAUGGCUUACCAAGGCUAUGAUCUAUAGCUGGUCUGAGAGGACGAUCAGCCACACUGGAACUGAGAUACGGUCCAGACUCCUACGGGAGGCAGCAGUGGGGAAUAUUGGACAAUGGGCGAAAGCCUGAUCCAGCUAUGCCGCGUGAGUGAAGAAGGCCUUCGGGUUGUAAAACUCUUUCAAUAGGGAAGAUAAUGCGGUUACUAUGAACGUUCACGGUGCUAUGUAUUCAACUUACUUAAAAUUAAUAAUUUUAAAAAGCGAUAUUUUAAUUCCUUGGAAAUUUAAUUUAUGGGCGGGGGAAUCCCACCAUCAUGAUGAAUACAAAUUAUUUUAAUGCCUACUUUAAUUAGGCAUUUACACAAUUUUUCUUUUUUUUUUUUUGUAUCUUAUCUAAUUAAAUGCUAAGUAACUCAAGUGAUUUUCCAAGUAAUACAUACUUCAGUAAUUUUUUACUCCUACUUAAUCCUAUUUAAUUUCCUACUCUUUCUUUAUUCUUUUCCUCUAAUUUCCUUAUUUCAUUCUCACUUACAUUUAUUUAUGUGUAUCUUUCUUAAUACAUUUGAAAUAUGGAAUAAAUGUAACUACUACCAGUCCAUUAAUUAACUACUAUAAAGAUCUCCUAAUGAUUAUAUUUACAUACUAAGAUA